rnacentral:rRNA from 1 species
GUGUCAGCAGCCGCGGUAAUACGGAGGGAGCAAGCGUUACUCGGAAUUAUUGGGCGUAAAGGGCGCGUAGGCGAUUUGACAUGUCUUAUGUGAAAGCCCAGAGCUUAACUCUGGAAGUGCAUAAGAAACUGUUGAAUUUGAGUACAGGAGAGGAAGGCAGAAUUCCCGGUGUAGCGGUGAAAUGCGUAGAUAUCGGGAGGAAUACCAGUGGCGAAGGCGGCCUUCUGGACUGUAACUGACGCUGAGGCGCGAAAGCUAGGGGAGCAAACGGGAUUAGAAACCCGCGUAGUCC